GUAGGUGGCAAGCGUUGUCCGGAAUUAUUGGGCGUAAAGCGCGCGCAGGCGGUUCUUUAAGUCUGAUGUGAAAGCCCACGGCUCAACCGUGGAGGGUCAUUGGAAACUGGAGAACUUGAGUACAGAAGAGGAAAGCGGAAUUCCACGUGUAGCGGUGAAAUGCGUAGAGAUGUGGAGGAACACCAGUGGCGAAGGCGGCUUUCUGGUCUGUAACUGACGCUGAGGCGCGAAAGCGUGGGGGAGCAAACAGGGAUUAGAUACCCGUGGUAGUCCACGCCGUAAACGAUGAGUGCUAAGUGUUAGGGGGUUUCCCGCCCCCUUAGUGCUGCAGCUAACGCAUUAAGCACUCCGCCGUGGGGAGUACGGCCGCAAGGCUG
rnacentral:rRNA from 1 species